rnacentral:rRNA from 1 species
AGUCGAACGGAGCCUUAACCAAAGAAGCAGCCAGCUUGCUGGAAGCGGAAAAGGGAAAGGCUUAGUGGCGGACGGGUGAGUAACGCGUGGGUAACCUGGCCCAUACAGGGGGAUAACACUUAGAAAUAGGUGCUAAUACCGCAUAACAACAGAAAGCGCAUGCUUUUUGUUUGAAAACCAAGGUGGUAUGGGAUGGACCCGCGUCUGAUUAGCUGGUUGGCGGGGUAAAGGCCCACCAAGGCGACGAUCAGUAGCCGGCCUGAGAGGGUGGACGGCCACAUUGGGACUGAGACACGGCCCAAACUCCUACGGGAGGCAGCAGUGGGGAAUAUUGCACAAUGGGGGAAACCCUGAUGCAGCGACGCCGCGUGAGUGAAGAAGUAAUUCGUUAUGUAAAGCUCUAUCAGCAGGGAAGAAAAUGACGGUACCUGAGUAAGAAGCCCCGGCUAACUACGUGCCAGCAGCCGCGGUAAUACGUAGGGGGCAAGCGUUAUCCGGAUUUACUGGGUGUAAAGGGAGCGUAGACGGCAGUGCAAGUCUGGAGUGAAAGGCGGGGGCUCAACCCCCGGACUGCUCUGGAAACUGUACGGCUGGAGUGCAGGAGAGGUAAGUGGAAUUCCUAGUGUAGCGGUGAAAUGCGUAGAUAUUAGGAGGAACACCAGUGGCGAAGGCGGCUUACUGGACUGUAACUGACGUUGAGGCUCGAAAACGUGGGGAGCAAACAGGAUUAGAUACCCUGGUAGUC